ACUGCAGUAUAACAGUCUCAUAGCCACAGUACUGUAGUAUAACAAGGUACAGUCUCAUAGCCACAGUACUGCAGUAUAACAAGGUACAGUCUCAUAGCCACAGUACUGUAGUAUAACAAGGUACAGUCUCAUAGCCACAGUACUGCAGUAUAACAAGGUACAGUCUCAUAGCCACAGUACUGCAGUAUAACAAGGUACAGUCUCAUAGCCACAGUACUGCAGUAUAACAGUCUCAUAGCCACAGUACUGUAGUAUAACAAGGUACAGUCUCAUAGCCACAGUACUGUAGUAUAACAAGGUACAGUCUCAUAGCCACAGUACUGCAGUAUAACAAGGUACAGUCUCAUAGCCACAGUACUGCAGUAUAACAGUCUCAUAGCCACAGUACUGUAGUAUAACAAGGUACAGUCUCAUAGCCACAGUACUGCAGUAUAACAAGGUACAGUCUCAUAGCCACAGUACUGCAGUAUAACAAGGUACAGUCUCAUAGCCACAGUACUGCAGUAUAACAGUCUCAUAGCCACAGUACUGCAGUAUAACAAGGUACAGUCUCAUAGCCACAGUACUGCAGUAUAACAAGGUACAGUCUCAUAGCCACAGUACUGCAGUAUAACAAGGUACAGUCUCAUAGCCACAGUACUGUAGUAUAACAGUCUCAUAGCCACAGUACUGCAGUAUAACAAGGUACAGUCUCAUAGCCACAGUACUGCAGUAUAACAGUCUCAUAGCCACAGUACUGUAGUAUAACAAGGUACAGUCUCAUAGCCACAGUACUGUAGUAUAACAAGGUACAGUCUCAUAGCCACAGUACUGCAGUAUAACAAGGUACAGUCUCAUAGCCACAGUACUGCAGUAUAACAAGGUACAGUCUCAUAGCCACAGUACUGCAGUAUAACAGUCUCAUAGCCACAGUACUGUAGUAUAACAAGGUACAGUCUCAUAGCCACAGUACUGUAGUAUAACAAGGUACAGUCUCAUAGCCACAGUACUGUAGUAUAACAAGGUACAGUCUCAUAGCCACAGUACUGCAGUAUAACAGUCUCAUAGCCACAGUACUGCAGUAUAACAGUCUCAUAGCCACAGUACUGCAGUAUUACAGUCUCAUAGCCACAGUACUGUAGUAUAACAGCCUCAUAGCCACAGUACUGCAGUAUAACAGUCUCAUAGCCACAGUACUGCAGUAUAACAGUCUCAUAGCCACAGUACUGCAGUCACUGCAGGUGAAGUAUUGAAAGAUAAA